GACGAACGCUGGCGGCGUGCCUAAUACAUGCAAGUUGAGCGCUGAAGGUUGGUACUUGUACCAACUGGAUGAGCAGCGAACGGGUGAGUAACGCGUGGGGAAUCUGCCUUUGAGCGGGGGACAACAUUUGGAAACGAAUGCUAAUACCGCAUAAAAACUUUAAACACAAGUUUUAAGUUUGAAAGAUGCAAUUGCAUCACUCAAAGAUGAUCCCGCGUUGUAUUAGCUAGUUGGUGAGGUAAAGGCUCACCAAGGCGAUGAUACAUAGCCGACCUGAGAGGGUGAUCGGCCACAUUGGGACUGAGACACGGCCCAAACUCCUACGGGAGGCAGCAGUAGGGAAUCUUCGGCAAUGGACGAAAGUCUGACCGAGCAACGCCGCGUGAGUGAAGAAGGUUUUCGGAUCGUAAAACUCUGUUGGUAGAGAAGAACGUUGGUGAGAGUGGAAAGCUCAUCAAGUGACGGUAACUACCCAGAAAGGGACGGCUAACUGCGU
rnacentral:rRNA from 1 species